CUCGUAGGCGGCUUGUUGCGUCAGCUGUGAAAGCCCGCAGCUCAACUGUGGGCUUGCAGCUGAUACGGGCAGGCUUGAGUUCGGUAGGGGAGACUGGAAUUCCUGGUGUAGCGGUGAAAUGCGCAGAUAUCAGGAGGAACACCGGUGGCGAAGGCGGGUCUCUGGGCCGAUACUGACGCUGAGGAGCGAAAGCGUGGGAGCGAACA
rnacentral:rRNA from 1 species